UACGGAGGGUGCGAGCGUUGUCCGGAAUCACUGGGCGUAAAGAGCGUGUAGGCGGCCCGAUUAGUCUGCUGUGAAAGUCCAGGGCUCAACCCUGGAAUGCCGGUGGAUACUGUCGGGCUAGAGUCCGGAAGGGGCGAGUGGAAUUCCUGGUGUAGCGGUGAAAUGCGCAGAUAUCAGGAGGAACACCAAUGGCGAAGGCAGCUCGCUGGGACGUGACUGACGCUGAGACGCGAAAGCGUGGGGAGCAAACAGG
rnacentral:rRNA from 1 species